rnacentral:sRNA from 1 species
UUUUAGCCCUGAUUGAAACGACAUCCUUUUUUGGCGCGAGCGAAGCGAGCGGCAAAAAAGAUAGAGUGGAAAGCAGGACCAAAU